rnacentral:lncRNA from 1 species
CCCACAGCACAUGGAGGUUCCCAGGCUAGGGGUCAAAUCAGAGCUGUAGCUACCCGCCUACACCACAGCCACAGCAACACCAGAUCCAAGCUGCACCUGUGCCCUACACCACAGCUCACGGCAACGCCGGAGCCUUAAUCCACUGAGCAAGGCCAGGGAUCAAACCCCCAUUCUCAUGGAUCCUAGUUGGAUUCUUAAUCUGCUGAGCCACGAUGGGAACCCCCCAGAUCUUUUAAAAGCUAAGCUACUACAACCUUCUUUGGCCAGACUGCAUUUGCAUUCAGAUCUCUCCUGUUUAUCCAUUGGCCAAGAAUUUAUGAAGUGCCAACUAUGUGUCAAACUGGGGUUCCGGUAAUAAACUAGAAAAGCAGUCCUGCUCCCCCAACACUCAGGGUGUCAGAUGCACAGAACUACAUACAGCCCAGCCCAGCAGCGAUGAGACAGGGAACCCUGGGGCUCUGGGUGCACUGUCCGCGGGACCUCAGCUCAGGAAGCGCCGGGAGGGCUGCCAUAGGAAGGUGCCCUGCGAGGGCACGACAGUCAAUACCUUGUCAUCACAAGAGUGGGAAAGGAUCUGAGAAAGAAGACACAACGCACACCUAAAUCGCUUUACACCUGAAGCUAAGGCAACUUUGUAAAUCAACGCUUCUUCAAUUAAAAAAAAAAAAAAAAGCUAAUGAAAUCUGAAAAACAAAAACAAAAACUGGAUUUCAGCAACAAAGCUCUGCCCUGAAACAGCUUGCGAGCAUCCUUGUGAGGCUGGAGCCCAGCUCUGCGCUACUGACGUAGGGUCACUCGAAGUCUCCACCCACCUGAACAAGACAACAAAAAACGAGACACGAAAUAGCGGAAGACACAGAGUAAUCAUUAUUUGCAGGCGAAGAUUAAGACCUAAAAAAUGUACCUGCUAAGGGAAUUAAAAACUGUUACGAGAAACAGUAAAUGCAGCUGGAUACAAAAUUAACAUGCGUUUCGGUGCCGAAUCUCAAAAAUUACAUCUCAGUUACAAGAGGAAAAACAUAACUACUUGGCGGAGAAGCCCACUCACCUAAACCAAAGGACCACGCCAUCCACGCCCGCCUCCAAGGCCCCAGGCGUCUGGGCGACACCCCUGGCGGGGCACGCGUCCCCCCCAACCUGUCAGCCCGAGAUGCUUUGCAGCGACCUGAUCAGCAGGUUGACCCACCGGACAAACUUAAACGGAAAGACAACUGAUAAAAUAACUCCUGGUUUCUUUAAAAGUCAAGGUCCAUGGAGACAAGGUUGGGGCUGCUCCGGGUUCAGGAGACCGAAGAGACAGGCACCCGAGGGCAGCCUCCAGCCCGGACCCGACCCCGAGGCGCCGGAGCCCACAGAGGACGCAGUGGCAUCUGUGCUGAGGAGUCAGUGAGGGGUCACGGGGCUGGGACAUUUCCUGAAGUCAGUGCCAGGGCUGUGGUCCCGGAGAACAUCCUUCCUCCUGGCAAAGACGUGCUGUGGCGAGAGGGGACAGGGCCACCCCGCCUGCUGUCCACUCUGGCCCUUGAGGAAGUAACGCGGGAAAAAAGAGCCCAUCCGUGUGCCCCAGCCCCACGGAAACACAGAAAACACGCACGAGUUAACAGAAACAGGGCUCCACGAAGUGACCCACUCCCGCAGCCAGGAGGCCACACGAGGCCUGGCAGGAGGCAACCGCCCACCAGAGCCGCACUGUCUCCCAAGGGGGCGCGGCUGGCCUUGGGGAUGCGGCCCUGCCUCCGGGAACCUUGGGCUCCCCGAGGCAGACAGACCCGGGCCAGCGUCCAGGGAAGACAGUGACCAGCCCCGGGAAGUCCCAGGGCUCCAAGCGCAGCCCCAUGCGGGCGCGUGGACAGCGCCGCCAGGCCCAGCGGGUGUCCCCAUCUGCUCAUCGAGGCCUUACAGGUCUGCAGGGACAGAAACCCACACGCAGGGUGGAAAGGAGCUGGACACGCACGGGACCCUCGAUGACCAAGACGCGCCGGAACCCGGGACCCAAGGAAGGUUUCUCGAUUCCUCGGAAGCGCUCUACCCGCCACCCGCGGGAGUCACGUCUCAGCCCCUUACCUUCUUCCUCUGGCUUCAUGAACGAGGGCAACAAAGGGACAGACGAGGCUGUCUAUCCAGACUCACCCGUGCCCAGAGCGGCGGGCACUGAAGGGCUCACCCACGGCGUCGGCAUCGAGGGCCCCCAGGGCCUGGCCGCCGGCCUCGCACAGCCUGGGUCAGGCCUCCCGUCUCUGCACUUCCAGGCACAAGUCAGGCCUUAGGCCUCGGAGGAGCACGGGGUAAACCGAGUGGCAGCCACGCCCGGGGCUGGGGACCCACAGACCUGCCACCUCGCCAGGAAACCCAUGGCAGCUGCACACGUGGCCAUGUUAGCUUAAAUUAAGUGAAAAUUCCAUGCUUUGGUCAUAUUCGCCACAUCUCAAGUGUCAACGGCCACGCAGGCCCAGCCCAGCCCUGCCCUGCUGGACGGGUGGACACAGAUCCCUCCAUCCCUGCAGAAGGUUCCAGACUCCACGAGAUCCCCGCUCGGCUAGGCCAAGGGUGGGCAGGCCUGGAGAAUCCGUGCCCACCACGACGGCAGGGAAAGUCAGACCAGCCAGGAGUCAGGCUGCAGGCGGGCGCAGGGCCCCAGGCGCCCGCUCAGCCCGGGCUCCAACACGGGCAGGGGACUCUGCCUCCGGCUGUGAUGAGCCCCUGGUCCCCCCGUCGGGGACGCGCCUGCCGAGCAGACGUCUACGACCCCACGUGUGGAGGUGGAGGCGCCCAAGCGACACCAUGCGACCUUGCCCCUCACGUCACCCGCGGGCCCCGGCCUGCGUGCUCUGUCCCCGUGUCAUCAGAUCUCAUCCUGACAUUCCUUCCGAAUCAGCUCCAAAGAGUCACGGAGUUGACAAAUCAUUUUUCACUGAGGGUCGCGCCAGCCAAGGCUCCCUGGUGACACACAGGAGGCUCCUGAUUUCCUCAGAAAACUAUCCAAACCGCAGGACGGUGGGGGGAGGCCGCAGGGACACGCGCUGAUCGGAGUGACACAGCCCUGCGCACCCCUCAGCCACCCUCCUCACACCCAGACCUGCGCACCCCUCCAGGGGGAGCGGUGACAUUUUUCUUCCAGUCCUGCCUGCUGCCCCCCAAACCCGGAAGAUCUGAGAAACACGGCAACGCGCGGGGUCGGGGGAGGCGGCCCAGCACACUGGACGCGACCGCCACCCACUGGGGAAAACAGCAGGUCCCCUUGGAUUUUGCGACACAUGGGAGGAGGCAGGGUG